rnacentral:lncRNA from 1 species
CGACUGGCACAAAAUUAUAUAGAAAAUGCCUACAGAGGGCUUUGGGGGUUUAUUCUUGAUUCACAAAGAAGCAUGGAAGUAGGGGAGGAGAGAAGGAAGGAAAACAUGCUCAUAGAUCCAAGCUGCUCCAAAGCCACAGAUGUUGUCCUAGCAGGAGCCAGGAAAGAAGAGAAAGACCAAGAAAGAACAGUAAGAACUUAG